UCAAAAGUUAAAUAGUAAAAAGAAAUAUCUAAAUAUUAAAUUUUGACUUUGAGGGUUAACAGGAUCACUUAACACCUCAGAUUCUAAUUUAUUCUAAUUUAGAAAUGUCAGGAGAGUGAGGAGACAAAGGAUUAUCAAUUUCAAAAGAAUGUUGAGAUAGAAAAUGUUGAUCAUUCUGUGGUAUUAUGCUAACUGAACAUGAACCUGAACCUUGCAAGAUGACCUUUUCGGUUUAAUCUUAGGCAGCGUUGCGUUCAUCUGUUGUAAGAGAGCUCUCUUAGCAACAGAUUCUUCUUGCUGAGCAAGCCAUAAACGGGAUCUAGUGUUGUUUCCAAGUUGAGGUAUCAACAUAACAAGUAGUCAUUGAAUAAGAAAGCAUAACAUAUCACCAACUACCUAUACACUUUGACUCUCCUUCCACUACCAUCAUCAUCAUUCAUUAGUUUAUUUAUAUAUGGCAUUGGCAGGUAGCUACCUACUCAUUCAGCAACAACCAGCAUUUGAUUUGAUUUCCAUUUUUAGCAUUCAACAACAACCAUUACAAAACAGCAGCAUAACAACAGCAGCAGCUUAACAAGUCACUAAUCAGAAAUUCCAAAUUUAAUUAGCAAUCCUAUUCUUGUUUCGUGCAUUUAAUUACUCAUAAACAAAACUCAACUCCACUUGAAUUGUUAAUUUAACCUUGGUCUUAUGGAAUCAUAAAUAGGAAUACAUUACAUUGCUCUUUCUUCUAAAAUUCAAGCAACAACAUAUGAUUUCACAAUUUAAAACCUUAUUCACCAGCUUCUCUUCUAAUUCAUUUGGAAUAUGCACAAAUGCACUUUACAGUAUCCAAAUAUCCAAAUACAACAACUCAAUAAUCUCAAAUUCUCAACUCUCAAGCAUAGUUGUAAGAACCGAACCGGUCAUCAAACCGGUUAGGCUACUGGUUUACUGAUUUACUGGUUCAACCGAUAAAUCGCUAGUUAAACCGAUAAAACUGGUCCCACAUAAAUAAAAAAUAUAAAAUAGUAAAAAAUUUGAAAAAUUUAAAAUACAUAUCAUCAAUAGUAUCUUAAUUUGACACAAUAAAAAUAAUAAUCUCUAAAAUUAGUUGUACUACUACAAUUGAAUUAAUGUUCUCGGACAAUAUUCAAUCACUCCUGAAUUCACCAUCAUGGCAUGUUCAUCCAACUUAUAGCAGGUAAUAAUAAUAAUCCUAUCCUUGUCAUAUAGUUUUAGUUCAUAUAUAUGAUCACAUUAUUCAAAUUAAAGUCUUAAAAUCCUUUCAAAAUCACAUUAUACUAUUGAUUCUUUUUUCUAAUUUCAAAACUAACAAUAAAUUUCCCAACACUAUGCAGCAACAUUAUUAUUAAAGGCAUCACCAUCAACAAAAAAAAUCAACAAUCUGCCAUUAACUAGUUCAACAAUAUAACAAGUUAUAACUCAACAAUAUAUACAUGAUCAACAAUCUGCCAUUAACCUAUCAGUUAUUCACUCCCUUCAACAAAUUAAAAUCUAGUUUGCAGACCAAUCUGGAUGAGACAGAUUCUGGCACAGCAAUGUUACAUCAACAAAAACAACUAUACCCACUACGAAUCAGAAAAAAAAAUAACAAUCUGCCAUUAACUAGUUCAACAAUAUAACAAGUAUAACUCAACAAUAUAUACAUAAUCAACAAUCUGCCAUUAACCUAUCAGUUAUUCACUCCCUUCAUCAAAUUAAAAUCCAACUAAAUAACUAAAAAAAACAGAGAACAUAUUUCAC
rnacentral:lncRNA from 1 species